UUCCGCCCUCAGUGCUGCAGCUAACGCAUUAAGCAUUCCGCCUGGGGAGUACGGCCGCAAGGCUGAAACUCAAAAGGAAUUGACGGGGGCCCGCACAAGCGGUGGAGCAUGUGGUUUAAUUCGAAGCUACGCGAAGAACCUUACCAGGUCUUGACAUACUAUGCAAAUCUAAGAGAUUAGACGUUCCCUUCGGGGACAUGGAUACAGGUGGUGCAUGGUUGUCGUCAGCUCGUGUCGUGAGAUGUUGGGUUAAGUCCCGCAACGAGCGCAACCCUUAUUAUCAGUUGCCAGCAUUAAGUUGGGCACUCUGGUGAGACUGCCGGUGACAAACCGGAGGAAGGUGGGGAUGACGUCAAAUCAUCAUGCCCCUUAUGACCUGGGCUACACACGUGCUACAAUGGAUGGUACAACGAGUUGCGAACUCGCGAGAGUAAGCUAAUCUCUUAAAGCCAUUCUCAGUUCGGAUUGUAGGCUGCAACUCGCCUACAUGAAGUCGGAAUCGCUAGUAAUCGCGGAUCAGCAUGCCGCGGUGAAUACGUUCCCGGGCCUUGUACACACCGCCCGUCACACCAUGAGAGUUUGUAACACCCAAAGUCGGUGGGGUAACCA
rnacentral:rRNA from 2 species